CGAGUUGAUCCUGCUCGAGAUCACUGCUAUUGGAGUCUGAUUAAGCCAUGCAUGUCUGGGGCACGGUAAGGCCCCGGCGAAUAGCUCAGUAACACGUGGAUAACCUGCCCUUGGGAGGGGGAUAACUUCGGGAAACUGAAGACAAUACCCCAUAGGCGACGAGCCCUGGAAUGGCCGUCGCCAAAAUGCGAUGAAUAUUCCUUCUUAGCGCCCUAGGAUGGAUCUGCGGCAGAUUAGGUUGAUGGCGGGGUAAUGGCCCACCAUGCCUGCGAUCUGUAUCGGCCUUGGGAGAGGGAGCCGGGAGAUGGAUACUGAGACAAAGAUCCAGGUUCUACGGAACGCAGCAGGCGCGAAAUCUUCGCAAUGUGCGAAAGCAUGACGAGGGGACUCCAAGUGCCAACCUAUUGGGUUGGCUUUUGUAAAGUGUAAAUAGCUUUAUGAAUAAGGGCUGGGUAAGACCGGUGCCAGCCUCCGCGGUAACACCGGCAGCUCAAGUGGUGGUCACGUUUACUGGGCUUAAAGCGUUCGUAGUCGGAUUCUCAAGUUCUCUGUGAAAUCCUGCGGCUUAACCGUAGGGGUUGCAGAGAAAACUGUUUUUCUUGAGGCCGGGAGGGGCCAAGGGUAUUUCUGGGGUAGCGGUGAAAUGCUAUAAUCCUAGAAGGACCACCUGUAGCGAAGGCGCUUGGCUGGAACGGGCCUGACGAUGAGGGACGAAAGCUAGGGGAGCAAACGGGAUUAGAUACCCCGGUAGUCCUAGCCGUAAACGAUGUGGACUAAGUGUUUCUCAAACCUCGAGUUUGGGAAGUGCUGAAGGGAAACCGUUAAGUCCACCGCCUGGGGAGUACGGUCGCAAGGCUGAAACUUAAAGGAAUUGGCGGGGGAGCACCACAAGGGGUGGAUGCUGCGGUUUAAUUGGAUACAACGCCGGGCAACUUACCAGGGGCGACAGCAGGAUGAUGGUCAAGCUGACGACUUUACCUGACAGGCUGAGAGGUAGUGCAUGGCCGCCGUCAGCUCGUACCGUGAGGCGUGCGGUUAAGUCCGUUAACGAGCGAGACCCGUGCCCUUAUUUGCUAACUUUCCCUUUUGGGGAGGUGCACUAUAAGGGGACCGCUGGCGAUGAGUCAGGGGAAGGCGCGGGCAACGGUAGGUCUGUAUGCUCCGAAUCUCCUGGGCUACACGCGGCAUACAAUGGCAUGGACAAUGGGUUGCGACACCGAAAGGCGUGAGCUAAUCUCCAAACCAUGUCUUAGUUCGAAUCGAGGGCUGAAACUCGCCCUCGUGAAGCUGAAAUCCCUAGUAAUCGCUGGUAACUAUCCAGCGGUGAAUAUGUCCCUGCUCCUUGCACACACCGCCCGUCACACCAACUGAGUGAAUUUGGGACGAGGUAUUCUCAUUUGGGAGUAUCGAGUCCCGGGUUCGCAAGGGGGGUGAAGUCGUAACAAGGUA
rnacentral:rRNA from 1 species